ACCGCUGACGACCGGCGCACGGGUGCGUAACGCGUAUACAAUCUACCUUUUACAGGGGCAUAGCCCGGGGAAACCCGGAUUAAUAUCCCAUGGUAUCAUUUAGUGGCAUCACUUGAAUGAUUAAAGCUUCGGCGGUAAAAGAUGAGUAUGCGUUCUAUUAGCUAGAUGGUAAGGUAACGGCUUACCAUGGCUACGAUAGAUAGGGGUCCUGAGAGGGAGAUCCCCCACACUGGUACUGAGACACGGACCAGACUCCUACGGGAGGCAGCAGUGAGGAAUAUUGGACAAUGGGCGAGAGCCUGAUCCAGCCAUGCCGCGUGCAGGAAGACUGCCCUAUGGGUUGUAAACUGCUUUUAUACGGGAAGAAACACUCCUUCGUGAAGGAGCUUGACGGUACCGUACGAAUAAGGAUCGGCUAACUCCGUGCCAGCAGCCGCGGUAAUACGGAGGAUCCAAGCGUUAUCCGGAAUCAUUGGGUUUAAAGGGUCCGUAGGCGGGAUAAUAAGUCAGUGGUGAAAGUCUGCAGCUCAACUGUAGAACUGCCAUUGAAACUGUUGUCCUUGAGUAAUUAUGAAGUGGUUAGAAUAUGUAGUGUAGCGGUGAAAUGCAUAGAUAUUACAUAGAAUACCGAUUGCGAAGGCAGAUCACUAAUAAUUUACUGACGCUGAUGGACGAAAGCGUAGGUAGCGAACAGGAUUAGAUACCCUGGUAGUCUACGCCGUAAACGAUGGUUACUAGCUGUUUGGCUCGAUUGAGAGCUGAGUG
rnacentral:rRNA from 1 species